UUCCUUUAGAAUAUACUUAAAGGUAUUGCCUGCCCAAUGUUAAAUUAUUAAUGGCUGCGGUAUCUUAACUGCACUAAGGUAGCAUAAUUAAUUGUCUUUUAAAUGGUGACCUGUUUGAAUGGCCUAAUGAGAAAAAGAUUUUCUUUUUAUUAAAAUAAAAUUAUAUUUCAAGGUUAAAAUACCUGAUUCUAAAAGAAAGACGAGAAGACCCUGUUGAGUUUUACAGUUUUAAAUUGUUUAAAUGGGAAAUUUAGCUUUUAAUUAAAGUUUCUUUUUAGAUCCUAUAUUGUAUAUACGGAAAAAGGAUAAAGUUACCACAGGGAUAACAGGAUAAUAUUUACUAAGAGUUCUAAUUAAAGUAAAUGAUUAUUACCUCGAUGUUGAAUCGAAAUAUCUUAAUGAUGCAGAAGUUAUUAUAGUAGGUCUGUUCGACCUUUAAUAUUUC
rnacentral:rRNA from 1 species